rnacentral:rRNA from 1 species
AUUGAACGCUGGCGGCAGGCUUAACACAUGCAAGUCGAGCGGUAACAGAGAGAAGCUUGCUUCUCUGCUGACGAGCGGCGGACGGGUGAGUAAUGCCUAGGAAUCUGCCUAGUAGUGGGGGAUAACUUGCCGAAAGGUAAGCUAAUACCGCAUACGUCCUACGGGAGAAAGGAGGGGACCUUCGGGCCUUUCGCUAUUAGAUGAGCCUAGGUCGGAUUAGUUAGUUGGUGAGGUAAUGGCCCACCAAGACCGCGAUCCGUAACUGGUCUGAGAGGAUGAUCAGUCACACUGGAACUGAGACACGGUCCAGACUCCUACGGGAGGCAGCAGUGGGGAAUAUUGGACAAUGGGGGGAACCCUGAUCCAGCCAUGCCGCGUGUGUGAAGAAGGUCUUAGGAUUGUAAAGCACUUUAAGUUGGGAGGAAGAGCAGUUAACUAAUAUUUGACUGUUUUGACGUUACCGACAGAAUAAGCACCGGCUAACUUCGUG